CGGUACCUGAAAUACAGACUGACACCCUGACUUGUUUAGCAGUUUAAUGUAUGUUGACUAGUUACCCAAGACCAGCUGGACUGUGUGGCCAGUCUGUCUAAGUAAAUAUGCCAAGUAUGUGACCCAGACUAUUUUCGUCCUACUCCGGUACUUUGGCUCGGCAUUGUACAACUACCUGACAAGCGCCUUUUCUAAGCAAAGCACGUGCCAUAAAAGAGCCAGAUGUCUUCGAGGGCGAUGAGAAAGCUCCAUGGAGACCGCAGUUUGGAUGAAUUGCGGAGCCGUCAUCAACUUGUUGAUGAAGAUGUGGGUGAUGGUGAUGAUGACGAAGAUGCGAGGAUGAAUGGAGUAGCUGCCGUUCCCAUCAACCUGUUUGAUUUGUUGCAGGAAGAUGAUCAUGAGGAUGGGAGUGACAGAAAUGAGAGAGGUGCCUCAUCUUCUCCAGGAGACCAGAAGCCACUGAGACAUGAAACAGCCCCAGGGGCCAAGAGAAAGAAGAAGAGAAAAAAAAAGAACAAGCAAAGCGACGUCGAGACCAAAACACAGGACGCGCCUGAAAAUGAAGAUGAAAUUGAUGCUAGUGUCAGGGAGGUAAACGCCAUGCUCGGGACUUUGCCCAAUGGAGGGGCGGGGCAGAUCACCGUCAGUGCCUCUGCUGUAACCAUGGAAACCAAGGCAGUGCUGGCCGUGGAACACAAGAACCUCAAUGCGGAUAACGAAAUGAGGAGGAUCUUUGGUUCAAACGUCGUCCGGCAAGCAGAGCAAAGGAGAAGAGGAAGGCGUAAGACGUAUCAGCGAUCAACUUGGCUCGUGAGCCCCAAAGCGGAAUGGCCCAACAUUGGAAAGACGGGAUUAUCCAUGAAACGACUUGAAAUAAAAGGCGGGUAUCAGUCCUUUACUCUGGAACACUCAAAGGACUACCAGCAAGUCCAGUUCCAAUUUCUAGAUGCAGUGGAAUCACUCAACCCUCAGAACCUAACGAUCUUGCUUCAGAUGCAUCCUUACCACAUAGACACCCUCCUGCAACUCAGCGAAGUCUGCAAAAUGAGCGAGGACAGACAGAUGGCAGCUGAGCUUGUCGAGAGGGCGCUGUACAGCAUCGAGUGUAGCUUCCACACCAUGUUCAGUUUGACACAGGGCACCUGUCGGCUGGACUACCGGAGGGUGGAGAACAGGGCAUUUUUCUUGGCCCUGUUCAGGCAUGCAGUGUUUGUGGGUCAGAGAGGGGCAAAUCGUACCGCCCUGGAACUUUGUAAGCUAAUCUUAAGUCUGGACCCAGACACCGAUCCCUUGGGCAUCUUGCUGACGAUUGACCACUACGCGCUGAGGUCGGAGCAGUACCAGUGUCUGAUCAGAAUGUAUGACGAAUGGGAGGCACACAAGAAUCUCUCCCAGCUACCCAACUUUGCUUUCAGCCUGGCCCUGGCUUACUUCCACAGCAGCCAAGAUGGCGACACCACCAAGGCUGACGCCAUGCUGCAGACCGCUCUACUCAUGUACCCCUCGACGUUGAUGCCUCUCCUGGACAAGUGUAGCAUUCAACCGGAUGCUACGGCCAAGAAACAUUCGUUUUUCUCUGCUCUGAGCCACUGCAACCAGCCAGCAGCCCUCAACCAGCUGAUAGCUCUCUACAUCGGCCGGAACUACGCCAUGUGGAAGGUGCCAGAGGUCAUGAAAUGGCUAGAGGUCAACGUCAGAUUGGUGUUGGAGCGUGUGGACAAGCAGGAUCCAGUAGUCAAGGAAUACCAGACAAAGAGGCAGAUGAGAUAUCGCGGUACUCCACGGAAUGUCCUCCGUCACAUCAUCCUCUCGGAGAUCAAAGAAGCAGUCGUAUCACUUCCCCCAGAGCUGGCCAACAGUCCCGUCUUGUCCUAUGACCCAGUGCCUCCUAAGGAUUCCAUCAUCUCCUAUCACAGACCCCCAACACAACACAGAGCCAGCAGCCUGCGUGCAGACAACAACCCCUUUGCUGAGUUCUUCAGGUCAUUGCGGCCGUCAUAUUUGCCUCCGCCUCCAGGAGCAAUACCUCCCGAACCAGCUGAUUUACCUGCUGCUGAUGAACGUGCUGGUGCAGCAGGGGGCUUCCUAGCCCCUAACACGGACCUACGCCAGAGCUUAGGCUCUUUGAUGGAUGCAAUGAGGGACCUCUUGAACAGCCUGAGACCACCGGACGCUCAGGGGGAGGAGUUUGAGGAGGAGGAGGCUGAAGAGUUUGAUUAGCGGCAAUCGCGGAGGGCACAGAGAUUGGACAGGACAUCUGUGCGGAUGGUUUUUCAAUGCAGUGUCAGAUUUUGGAGACUUGACGGGAGCAUGACCAUGCAAGGAGUGAAGGAUGUCUAAUCAGAAGUGAUUGAUUAAGGUCUGAUAGGAAGAAACUUAUGUCUACAGAGAGUCCCAGAUCACCGCAUCGGACUGCAGUCCCAGUGCCUGCUAUGCAAGAAGUGUACCCAGUUAUACGCCUUGGUGGGGAGAGGCAAGUAGGGUAGAGUGACUUGCCCCGGGUCACAGCAUGUAACCAUUGGGUGGAUUCGAACCUCAGACCUCUGAUCAGAAGUCACAGGCCCUGGGCCCUAGACCACACGCUCCUGCGUGGCUUCUGACUAAAGGAGGGGACAGCGAGGGGAAAUUGAUGGAAAGGAGCUCUGAGUUUGUGAUUCGGCACCGCCACCAAGAUUAGCAGAUUUGGCAGGAGGGGGAUGAUUCAGAGAGCAACCUUCCGAUCUUGACGUCAGACUAUAAACGAACACAGCAGGAUGAGGUUCAUGGAUGUAAUGCCCAUGUUUUCUUUCUGUGACAAUCUUAGAAAUGAUAAGAAGUAAUGCCUAAAGUGCUUUCCAUCACGUUAAAAGCUGAAGUGUUAAAUCCAACACUUAUGUUAGUUUGGUCAGUGACAGCACUUUGAAAGUAACAAAUCCAGCAUUUUAAAUGCAAAAUCCAGUAUUUCAUACAUGUUGAAUUUAACGUGUAGCGUUAAUUCAACAAUGUACGCUGUUAUUUCCACAUUUUUCAAACAUUUUCCUUAAAAUAGGUGAAUCCUAUUCAUCUUCAUAUAUUAUGGAUAUUCAAAUUCAUAUAAGUGUUGGAUUCAUUUUGUCACUUCUAAGCAGGACUGAUAACUUCAAAGCACUUUACAAAUAAAUACCCUGUGCAUCAGGUAAGACCAGUGGGCAGCCAGCAUCCAUGCAGGUGUCUUUGCCUUCAGAGGUAUGCAUUUACACCCCUGAGCGGAGAGAGGCAAGGCAAGUUGGGGUAAAGUGACUUGCCCAAGGUCGCCACUCGGUGUCAACUGCUAGAUUCUUCUGACCAGUAAUCAGGAGUCACUAAUCCUAACCACCACAGUGCACUUGGCCACACGCUAAACCCUCGUGUAUAAUAUGAUAUGAGGCCAUGGAGAAGUUUCAUGUAGUUUUAAUAGUAAAGAGCCAAAGCUCACAGAUAUUUGUCCAAAGUUUGCGGAAAGUUUGUUCUUGGCUUGCAAUUCGUUUUUUUUUUCAUGAAGCACACAUUUGUCCCAUUUAAGGUGAAGGGGAAAGUAAUUUAAAUUGUAGUAUUUAUCAUUGAGUGUUUGAAUGAGUUUGAAAUUCGAGAAUUCUUUUUGUUGUGGACUGAUGGCCAGUCAGCAUUUUGCUAGUUACUAAUAGACAAACACUGCAAAUGAACAUGGGUCUGCAGCAGAGCCAAGUAUGGAAAAAAGUGAAGCCUCGAUUUGGUCACCAGUAGCUUUGUUGCUGCUUGUUCCCCCCCUCGCCCCCCCCUAACAUAAUUAAAUAUUCGCAGUGAUCAAGUAUUUCUGUGGACGGGAAUCUCAUCCUUUCCGCAUAUUAAACUGUGGAGAGUCGAUCAUGCUUUAUGGUUGGACUAAUUAUCCGCUUAAAUGGCAGUGUAAUGCAGUGGGGGAAGUAUUGAAGGCCAAGUCGGUAAAAGGGCUCUUUGUAUAACCAGUCAUGUGCGCAAUGCUUGGAGAUUAUGAAACUCCGGGGGGAAAAUUCGCCAAGUUUUUCUUGUGCAGUCAUCUGUAGAGCAGUUGAGGGAGGCGAGACUUGCCUUAGAUUGCUUUGAGUUGGGGGAAUCUGGCUUUCUUGACCUGAUUGAUAAAAAGAAAUCAAAACCGAUACAAGAUGAGUUUAUAGAUCUGCUGAGAGAGGAUUUUGAUUACGGCUAUUUCUUUAACAAAUUUGGCAGAGUACUGGACAAGUGUUUCAUCAAUCACAAGACAGAUCCAAGACUCUGAAAUAAAUGUUAGUUUUGCAAA
rnacentral:misc_RNA from 1 species